rnacentral:rRNA from 2 species
UCCCACCUGAUCCCAUGCCGAACUCAGAAGUGAAACGUUGUAGCGCCGAUGGUAGUGUGGGGUCUCCCCAUGUGAGAGUAGGGAACUGCCAGGC